GUAACAAGGUUUCCGUAGGUGAACCUGCGGAAGGAUCAUUAACGAGUUUUGAAAGGGGUUGUAGCUGGCCUUCCGAGGCAUGUGCACGCCCUGCUCAUUCCACUCUACACCUGUGCACUUACUGUGGGUCUCAGGCGAGCGUCGGUCGCUUCGCGGCGUCGUCGUUCAACUGGGCUCACGUUUUACUACAAACUAUUAAAGUAUCAGAAUGUCUACUGCGAAUUAACGCAUUUAAAUACAACUUUCAGCAACGGAUCUCUUGGCUCUCGCAUCGAUGAAGAACGCAGCGAAAUGCGAUAAGUAAUGUGAAUUGCAGAAUUCAGUGAAUCAUCGAAUCUUUGAACGCACCUUGCGCUCCUUGGUAUUCCGAGGAGCAUGCCUGUUUGAGUGUCAUGAAAUUCUCAACCUAACGAGUCUUUGCGGGCUCGGUAGGCUUGGACUUGGAGGUUCUUGUCGGCCUAACGGUCGGCUCCUCUUAAAUGCAUUAGCUCGGUUCCUUGCGGAUCGGCUCACGGUGUGAUAAUUGUCUACGCCGCGACCGUUGAAGCGUUUUGACCGGCUUCUAAUCGUCUCGCUAGAGACACUACUCUUUAUGACCUUCUGACCUCAAAUCAGGUAGGACUACCCGCUGAACUUAAGCAUAUC
rnacentral:rRNA from 1 species